rnacentral:misc_RNA from 1 species
GAUGAAGAACGUAGCGAAAUGCGAUAACUAAUGUGAAUUGCAGAAUUCAGUGAAUCAUCGAGUCUUUGAACGCACAUUGCGCCCUCUGGUAUUCCGGAGGGCAUGCCUGUCCGAGCGUCAUUGCUGCCCUCCAGCCCGGCUGGUGUGUUGGGCCCCGUCCCCCUUCCCGGGGGGACGGGCCCGAAAGGCAGCGGCGGCACCGCGUCCGGUCCUCGAGCGUAUGGGGCUUUGUCACCCGCUCUUGUAGGCCCGGCCGGCGCCAGCCGACCCCCUCAAUCUAUUUUUCAGGUUGACCUCGCAUCAGGUAGGGAUACCCGCUGAACUUAAGCAUAUCAAUAAGCGGAGGA